UAGAAAUAGCAAAACUUCUCCCCAAUCAACUUCCAAAAUAGAUGCACAAGAUUCAAGGAUCGAGACCCCUUCACUACGCAGCUCAAGACAACGCCAAUAAUCUCUUGAGUAUAAAAAACCGUAUAAAAUUCGCAUAAAACCGUGAAAAGUUUUUCUGUUCGCACGAAUUUAACAUUCAAAUUCAUAAUGAUUCGAUAAAGUUCAAAAAUGGCUGUAUUGUAAGGGCAUGCGGUAUAUCGAGUUAUACCGUGUAUUUCGCUUCAAUUCGGAAUUUAACGGAAUUUUUGUUUCAUGUUUCGUUUCGUUUAAAUCAGAAAAUUUCGAGUUCAUAAACGGCGAAUGAGAACGACCCACAUUUGAGUUUAGUUCACUCAUAAUCGCCAAAAGUGCAGGAACUCAGCGAUGAGUAAAAUUUGUCUCAUGUUUUCCCAGGUUUUUCCAGGAUUUUUAAGGGAAAAAUUCCCGAAUUUGAGAAAAGUAAAGAUUGGAUUCACUCAGUCUAUUGGUACUUCUUCGAGACUGAAUGAAAGUUUCGUCAAUUUCCUCAUUUUCCGACAGAUUUUUUAGGUUUUCCACAGGAAACCAUGAGAUAAAUUUACUCAUCGCUGAGUUCCUGCACUUUUGGCGAUAAUGAGUGAACUAAACUCAAAUGUGGGUCGUUCUCAUUCGCCGUGAAGCUAACAAAACUCACCAGCUGCAAAUCUGUGAAGAGAUUGAGUUUCAUGAUUAUUGCUUUACACCCGAACGCAACCGAAGCUUCCAUAACGUCGGUGAAGAGUGAAAAGAGAUAGCAAACUAUACUUUCUCUUUCUAAGAAAACGAUGUGCAACGGCAUCAUUUUAGUGUCGAGUCAACUUUCAGCUUGAUUUUUUGCACGUUGUGAAGGAGCUUGUAAAAUCAUUAUGAAGCAUGAUAUUUUGUUCCAAUAUCACGCGUGAUGUUGAGAGCGUAUGAGAGCGGAAAAAUGUAAUUUCGUUCUCUUCCACAACCCCACCAUUUUCCUCUUCAUCCGUAUAUACCUAUAGCAAAGUAUUUUAGAUUUGCCUGCUUGGCGGCAGCUUUUGUAUACAGUUUAAAUUUUAGUUCAAUGAAAAUAUUGGAUUAGUUUCAAAUUGGAUAUUUCGAUGUGCAGUUAUUCCAGUUAUAACAGAGCAAGGGUAGUGAAUGGACUUCACUUUUUGAAAGACAUGCUUCUUGUUGGCUGGUUGGGAGUGGCUUCUGUCUGCUCCAAAACUCGUCUACCGAGACACUGGAGGGAGAUCUUCAUUGAUACCUUGCGUAUUCUUCUCGUUGGCGAGCUGAGCUGAAUGUGGGUAUUGAUUAGAGCUUUCAAGAUACCUCGCGAAUGCUUCUCGUUGACGGGCUGAGAGUACGUGUGGAUCCUACUCCUGCGGUAGUCUAAUCGUGCCCUGAAGACCUCUAAAGGUGAAAUAUGAGUUUGAUCAAUUUGUUUUUCUUUUAUUUAACUGUAUUCAAACGAAAUUCCUAUAACAUGGAAAUUUAUGAACUAGAAAUUUUCUGAUUUAAACGAAACGAAACAUGAAAACAAAAAUUCCGUUAAAUUCCGAUUCGAAGCGAAAUACACGGUAUAACUCGAUAUACCGCAUGCCCUUACAAUACAGCUAUUUUUGAACUUCUUUAUCGAACCACCAUGAAAUUGAAUG